rnacentral:rRNA from 1 species
UACAGAGGUCCCAAGCGUUGUUCGGAUUCACUGGGCGUAAAGGGUGCGUAGGCGGUCGGGUAAGUCUGAUGUGAAAUCUCACAGCUUAACUGUGAAACUGCAUUGGAUACUAUCCGGCUCGAGGAAUGGAGGGGAGACUGGAAUACUUGGUGUAGCAGUGAAAUGCGUAGAUAUCAAGUGGAACACCAGUGGCGAAGGCGGCUCACUGGCCCGGUACUGACGCUGAGGUGCGAAAGCGUGGGGAGCAAACAGG